AUAGUAAAUCGGUAGGUGAGACUACCAUGGAGAUACGGAUGACUACCGCAAAAUAGUGGAGACACUAUUCGUUGGUCAGCAGCCUCUGUCGUGAAGGCAGAGACUAAUGUCAUUUCAUCGCUCCAUGAUGUUAAAGCUUGGACGAGAAUAUAAGAA
rfam:Granulicatella adiacens ATCC 49175 genomic scaffold SCAFFOLD1, whole genome shotgun sequence.